GAUGAACGCUGGCGGCGUGCCUAAUACAUGCAAGUCGAGCGAACAGACGAGGAGCUUGCUCCUCUGACGUUAGCGGCGGACGGGUGAGUAACACGUGGAUAACCUACCUAUAAGACUGGGAUAACUUCGGGAAACCGGAGCUAAUACCGGAUAAUAUAUUGAACCGCAUGGUUCAAUAGUGAAAGACGGUUUUGCUGUCACUUAUAGAUGGAUCCGCGCCGCAUUAGCUAGUUGGUAAGGUAACGGCUUACCAAGGCAACGAUGCGUAGCCGACCUGAGAGGGUGAUCGGCCACACUGGAACUGAGACACGGUCCAGACUCCUACGGGAGGCAGCAGUAGGGAAUCUUCCGCAAUGGGCGAAAGCCUGACGGAGCAACGCCGCGUGAGUGAUGAAGGUCUUCGGAUCGUAAAACUCUGUUAUUAGGGAAGAACAUAUGUGUAAGUAACUAUGCACGUCUUGACGGUACCUAAUCAGAAAGCCACGGCUAACUACGUG
rnacentral:rRNA from 1 species